AAAACAUGUCUUUUUGAGUUUAAUUUAAAGUCUAAUCUGCCCACUGAUAUUAAUUAAAGGGCUGCAGUAAUUUGACUGUACAAAGGUAGCAUAAUCAUUAGUCUUUUAAUUGAAGACUUGUAUGAAAGAUUUGAUGAAAUAUAGACUGUCUCUAAUUUAUAGUUAAAAUUUAAUUUUUUAGUUAAAAAGCUAAAAUAAAUUUAAAAGACGAGAAGACCCUAUAGAGUUUUAUAAUUUAUUAUUUAAGAUAUUUUUAUAAAAUUUUAAUAUUUAAUAUAAUAAAUUAUUUUAUUGGGGUGAUAAAAAAAUUAAUAAAACUUUUUUUAAAUAUUAACAAAGAUAAAUGAAUGAAUGAUCCUAAAUUAAAGAUUAUAAGAAAAAAUUACCUUAGGGAUAACAGCGUAAUAUUUUUUUUUAGUACAAAUAAAAAAAAAAGUUUGCGACCUCGAUGUUGGAUUAAGAUAAAAUUUAAAUGCAAAAGUUUAAAAGUUUUGAUCUGUUCGAUCAUUAAAAUCUUACAUGAUC
rnacentral:rRNA from 1 species